AGAAGAGAGGCAUAUGUUUUCCAAACAGCAGUCAAUCUGGGCUCCAACAAGAGGGCUGCCUUGAGAAGUUCACUGGUAUGAUUAUAUGGUUUCUGUUGUCCAGGUGCAGCUCUUCCUCUAGAUGUAUUAUCCAUGCAGUGUAUAAUUACAACAUGAUUUGGGAAAUGAAGCCCCUGUUGCAUAGUAAAAACACUCAUGAGAUGAUCAUUCUUGUAUAACUACAAGCACUAAAAGCAGCAAAUCCCAUGUGUGAACUCUGAUCACACCUAGCAGGCUGCUGAGAAAGAAACAGGUUGAGAUGCUGAUCUCGCGAGUGCCAGGAUAAAUAGAAUGUCUCCCUGCCUGCUCCAAGGUUUAAACUGGUAGCCUGCUUGAAUUUUGUUACACUCUCUGUGGUUUGUGGUUUAUUGCUUCCCGUGGUUUGUGAAAAGAGACACCGGGACUAACGAGUGA